GAUGAAGAACGUAGCGAAAUGCGAUAAGUAAUGUGAAUUUCAGAAUUCAGUGAAUCAUCGAAUCUUUGAACGCACAUUGCGCCCGCCAGUAUUCUGGCGGGCAUGCCUGUUCGAGCGUCAUUUCAACCAUCAAGCCCCAGGCUUGUGUUGGGGACCUGCGGCUGCCGCAGGCCCUGAAAACCAGUGGCGGGCUCGCUGUCACACCGGGCGUAGUAGAUUUUAUCUCGCUCAGGGCGUGCUGCGGGUUCCGGCCGUUAAAAAGCCUUUUUUACCCAAGGUUGACCUCGGAUCAGGUAGGAAGACCCGCUGAACUUAAGCAUAUCAAUAAGCGGAGGA
rnacentral:misc_RNA from 1 species